UACGAAGGGGGCUAGCGUUGCUCGGAAUCACUGGGCGUAAAGCGCACGUAGGCGGCUUUCUAAGUCAGGGGUGAAAUCCUGGAGCUCAACUCCAGAACUGCCUUUGAUACUGGAGAGCUAGAGUCCGGAAGAGGUGAGUGGAACUGCGAGUGUAGAGGUGAAAUUCGUAGAUAUUCGCAAGAACACCAGUGGCGAAGGCGGCUCACUGGCCCGGUACUGACGCUGAGGUGCGAAAGCGUGGGGAGCAAGCAGG
rnacentral:rRNA from 1 species